rnacentral:rRNA from 1 species
GUCUGACCUGCCCAAUGAUGAUAGUUUAAUGGCCGCAGUAUUUUGACUGUGCAAAGGUAGCAUAAUCAUUAGUUUUUUAAUUGGAAGCUGGAAUGAAUGGUUUGAUGAAAAAGUAGCUGUCUCAUUUUAAAUGUUUUAGAAUUUUAGUUUUAAGUGAAAAAGCUUAAAUUAUUUAAAAAGACGAGAAGACCCUAUAGAGUUUAAUAUUUUAAUAUAAUAUUUCAAAUUGGAUUUAAAUUGAAAUAUUAUAUUAAAAUAUUUUGUUGGGGUGAUGUAAAAAUUUAAUUAACUUUUUAUUAUUUUAACAUAAAUUAAUGAAUAUUUGAUCCUAAUUUUUAGAUUAAAAGAAUAAAUUACCUUAGGGAUAACAGCGUAAUUUUUUUAGAGAGUUCUUAUUGAUAAAAAAGUUUGCGA